rnacentral:rRNA from 1 species
AUGACCAAACGGGAGGCGGCGGCCGCGAAGGCCAACCGCUUCCGUAGGGAAGUGAGAAGGCCGCCGCUAGUCUCUGCGCCCCCCCUUUUCUUUGAGAGAGUCGCCGUCCCCUCCGUCAUGGGGUCGGCAGAGACGUCCGCCAAUACUCGGCGGGUCGACCCCGCCGCCGACCUCCGGGAGGCGACGGAGCGAAACGCGCGGGAGAAGCGCGACGAGGAGGAGGCCGACCGUCUGAAGAAGGCGGAGGCCGAGAAGGCGUCCACCUCCGCCCAGAAGAAGCUGGAGGACGCCGAAGCCGCUCUUGCGGCGAGACGACGAGCCGAGGAGGCCGCGCGUCGCCGAUCGGCGAUGCUCGUCCCCCCACUGUCCUCUGCACUGCCGCCUUCAGAGUUCACGGGACAGACCGGAGAGGCCGGCACCGAGAACCCCGUCGUGAAGGAGAGCGGCGAGGCCUCCAUGUCGGACACUCUCGUGCCGCCACCGCCGCCUCCACUGUCGUCUGGGAGACCGCAUGGCAAACAGCCGGCGGGUCCGCCGGAGCCGCCGACCGCGGACGAGUCCGAGGCGAGGCUGCUUCUCCAAGCCGCCUCGCCGGUGCGCCGCCGUCUUGAGAGGGCGACCUCGGCGCCGCGACCUCGGGAGACCGGCGCCGCCAGCUCGGCAGCCCUAGACGCUGAGGCAACUAGCGCCGCGUCCAUCGGGUGGUUGCGUGGAGGCGCCACUGGGCCGCUGAAUCAAGCGCUUCUGGACGUUCAGGCGAAGUUGUAUGCUGAAGGCGACACCCUUCAAACUUGCACCAGGGCGCAUCUGGCAGCGCGGAGGCCGUCCGAGAGUAUCACAACCUCCGCGCCACUGCCUUCAACCGCAAUGUUGAAGAGUUGA